CAAUUCUAGAAUUCUCUUAGGUACAGCCUUGUCAAUUCCAAGCUGGUUUACAGCACUGACAAAUUGUUGAUGAAGCUCCACAGACCAUACAACACGUGGUUUCUUUGAUGUAGAGGGAUCGUCAUUUUCUGGGUCACCAUCAUCUUCGUCUUUGGAAUUGCUCCUCUUUUUCUGACCUUUCAGAACUCCUUCUGUUCCCUCAUUGACAGAAGAAGUAUAUUCAGCAUCAUCAUUUCCCCGUUUAUUCCGAUCACUAUCUUCCAAGCUUCCAGAAUGUUCAAGUUCUUUAUUUUCAUUCCACUUUUUCCUAACAACAUGCUGCCAUAUAUUCUUAAGCUCUUCUUCACGUAUAGGUUUAAUCAAAUAAUCACAAGCUCCAUGUCUAAUCCCCCUCAUUACAGCACUUGUUCUUCCGUCAGCAGACAUCAUAAUAACAGGAAGGUCCAUUUCUAAGCCAACAUGCUCAAGAAGUUUAU
rnacentral:misc_RNA from 1 species